UGCAAGUCGAACGAUGAAGGGAGCUUGCUCCUGGAUUAGUGGCGAACGGGUGAGUAACACGUGAGUAACCUGCCCUUAACUCUGGGAUAAGCCUGGGAAACUGGGUCUAAUACCGGAUAUGACUCCUCAUCGCAUGGUGGGGGGUGGAAAGCUUUUUGUGGUUUUGGAUGGACUCGCGGCCUAUCAGCUUGUUGGUGAGGUAAUGGCUUACCAAGGCGACGACGGGUAGCCGGCCUGAGAGGGUGACCGGCCACACUGGGACUGAGACACGGCCCAGACUCCUACGGGAGGCAGCAGUGGGGAAUAUUGCACAAUGGGCGCAAGCCUGAUGCAGCGACGCCGCGUGAGGGAUGACGGCCUUCGGGUUGUAAACCUCUUUCAGUAGGGAAGAAGCGAAAGUGACGGUACCUGCAGAAGAAGCGCCGGCUAACUACGUGCCAGCAGCCGCGGUAAUACGUAGGGCGCAAGCGUUAUCCGGAAUUAUUGGGCGUAAAGAGCUCGUAGGCGGUUUGUCGCGUCUGCCGUGAAAGUCCGGGGCUCAACUCCGGAUCUGCGGUGGGUACGGGCAGACUAGAGUGAUGUAGGGGAGACUGGAAUUCCUGGUGUAGCGGUGAAAUGCGCAGAUAUCAGGAGGAACACCGAUGGCG
rnacentral:rRNA from 1 species